CCUACAAUAAACCCACAGAUAAACCACCAGGGAAGAGCCAGCCAUUCAGAGACUUCAUCCCCAGACCUGCAAAGACCUGAGGAGUUGCAACAUUUCCAUCAGGUAAAAGGAACAAAACCAGGGCAGAAGAAGGAAGAAAGAAAAGCAAAAUUCACCUCCACGCUCAUAGCCACGCUCACGUGAUCGGGUGGCACUGGUUUCCAAGCAGCCGAUCGGCGCAUACACAGCAAUGCUAAUUUGUCCCCGCCUUCAUCAAUUUUCUUCAAGAAUCACCUUGACAGGCAGGACGGCACAUGCCUGUAAUCCUAGCACUCCGGGAAGCUGAGGCCACAGACUGGUAAUUUAAAGGUUUAAAGGUGUUGACAGAAAGACGCUCCCUACAGAGGAAAAUGGGUUGGCAAGUUCAGGCAACCAGCACCCACCGCGUCCCCGGCAUUCAGUUACCUGGAUGACUGUUGCAGAGGACGAGGCCGCCCCAUUGCCCUCCAGGUCCUCGUCCUGCUCCCAGAGGAAAG